rnacentral:rRNA from 1 species
UACGAAGGGUGCAAGCGUUACUCGGAAUUACUGGGCGUAAAGCGUGCGUAGGUGGUUUUUUAAGUCCGUUGUGAAAGCCCUGGGCUCAACCCUGGGAAUGGCAGUGGAUACUGGAAAGCUAGAGUGCGGUAGAGGGUAGUGGAAAUUCCCGGUGUAGCAGUGAAAUGCGUAGAGAUCGGAAGGAACAUCAGUUGCGAAGGCGGCUCUCUGGACCAGCACUGACACUAGGCACGAAAAGCGUGGGG